UCCUGGUUGGCUCAGUUGGUAGAGUGCUCCACUGGAAAUGGAGAGGUCCCUCGUUCAAUACCAGGACCAGGGG
rnacentral:tRNA from 2 species